rnacentral:rRNA from 1 species
AUUGAACGCUGGCGGCAUGCCUUACACAUGCAAGUCGAACGGCAGCACGGGUGCUUGCACCCUGGUAGUCGGACGUCGGACGGGAACGGGGUCGGAAGUUAAACGUACAUCGGAAUGUACCUUGUAGUGGGGGAUAGCUCGGCGAAAGCCGGAUUAAUACCGCAUACGCUCUGAGGAGGAAAGCGGGGGACCUUCGGGCCUCGUGCUACAAGAGCAGCCGAUGUCAGAUUAGCUUGUUGGUGAGGUAAAAGCUCACCAAGGCGACGAUCUGUAGCUGGUCUGAGAGGACGACCAGCCACACUGGGACUGAGACACGGCCCAGACUCCUACGGGAGGCAGCAGUGGGGAAUUUUGGACAAUGGGCGAAAGCCUGAUCCAGCAAUGCCG